rnacentral:rRNA from 1 species
CCUUGCACACACCGCCCGUCAAGCCAUGGAAGCUGGGUGUACCUAAAGUCGGUAACCGUAAGGAGCCGCCUAGGGUAAAACUAGUGACUGGGGCUAAGUCGUAACAAGGUACC